UACGUAGGGGGCGAGCGUUGUCCGGAGUUACUGGGCGUAAAGCGCUUGUAGGCGGUCCACCAAGUUUGGGGUGACAGUUGCCGACUUAAUCGGCAAAGUGCCUCAAAGACUGGCGGACUUGAGGGCCACAGAGGGACAUGGAACUCCAGGUGUAGUGGUGAAAUGCGUAGAUAUCGGGAGGAACACCAGUGGCGAAGGCGGCAUCCUGGCCCUGUCCUGACGCUCAGGGGCGAAAGCGUGGGUAGCAAACCGG
rnacentral:rRNA from 1 species